rnacentral:rRNA from 1 species
AUUGAACGCUGGCGGCAUGCCUUACACAUGCAAGUCGAACGGCCGGGGGUAGCUUGCUACCUGCCGGCGAGUGGCGAACGGGUGAGUAAUACAUCGGAACGUGCCCUGUAGUGGGGGAUAACUAGUCGAAAGACUAGCUAAUACCGCAUACGACCUGAGGGUGAAAGUGGGGGACCGCAAGGCCUCAUGCUAUAGGAGCGGCCGAUGUCUGAUUAGCUAGUUGGUGGGGUAAAGGCCCACCAAGGCGACGAUCAGUAGCUGGUCUGAGAGGACGAUCAGCCACACUGGGACUGAGACACGGCCCAGACUCCUACGGGAGGCAGCAGUGGGGAAUUUUGGACAAUGGGGGCAACCCUGAUCCAGCAAUGCCGCGUGUGUGAAGAAGGCCUUCGGGUUGUAAAGCACUUUUGUCCGGAAAGAAAUCGCACUGGUUAAUACCUGGUGUGGAUGACGGUACCGGAAGAAUAAGGACCGGCUAACUACGUGCCAGCCGCCGCCGUAA